rnacentral:misc_RNA from 1 species
UUUCCGUAGGUGAACCUGCGGAGGGAUCAUUACUGAGUGAGGGCUUCGGUCCGACCUCCAACCCUUUGUGAACCAAACUUGUUGCUUCGGGGGCGACCCUGCCGUUCGCGGCAUUCCCCCCGGAGGUCAUCAAAACACUGCAUUCUUACGUCGGAGUAAAAAGUUAAUUUAAUAAAACUUUCAACAACGGAUCUCUUGGUUCUGGCAUCGAUGAAGAACGCAGC